rnacentral:tRNA from 1 species
GCCCCAAUAGCUCAAUAGGUCAGAGCAGCUCAAUGAGCAUUCGGUUGCAGGUUCGAGCCCUGCUUGGGGCG